CUGGCACCAAUAAGCUGCUGUACAGCCAGAACGAGAAGCGCUAUUACAUGGAGAGAGACGACGAAUCACUCAACCUGCUGGGUUUAGACUAUGACUAUGAUUCAGACGACAAGGCAGAUAAAAUCAAGAACCCCAACUCCCUGCAGAACUCUCUACAGAGCGGCAAGUGGCAGCUGGGAUUCCAAGCGAUGUCCUUUGACCUCUAUGCAAAG
rnacentral:lncRNA from 1 species